rnacentral:rRNA from 1 species
AUUGAACGCUGGCGGCAGGCCUAACCCAUGCAAGUCGACCGCCGCGGCGGACGGGUGAGGAAUGCCUAGGAAUCUGACUGGUCGUGGUGGAUAACAUACGGACACGGACGCUUAUCCCGCAUACUUUCCGAUGAGCAUCGGUCGGAUUAGCUAGUUGGUGGGGUAAAGGCCGACCAAGGCGACGAUCCGGAGCUGGUGUGAGAGGAUGAUCAGUCACACUGGAACUGAGACACGGCCCAGACUCCUACGGGAGGCAGCAGUGGGGAAUUUUGGACAAUGGGCGAAAGCCUGAUCCAGCCAUGCCGCGUGUGUGAAGAAGGUCUUCGGGUUGUAAAGUACUUUAGGUUGGGAGGCGGUAUCAACAGAAUAAGCACCGGCUAACUACGUGCCAGCAGCCGCGGUAAUUC